CCACCCUUCUCUGACCGGUACAACUCAAAACGGAAAAAGGAAACAUUUUUCUUUCUCUUCAUAUCUAUCUUUAUCUUCAAACUUUCUCUAAUUGCAUCCCUCUAUUCACUUUCUGAUUUGAAAAAAAUUAGGGUUUCAAAGAUAUGGAGCAGGAUCAUAGUUACAGGAUCAAAGUGUUGGAGCACGGGGAAGAAUCAAAGACACUUUCCAUCCUUACCAGCUGCUUUUCUUCAACAGACUCAACCCAUUUUAGGGUUUUUUAUUUCCCUUCUCAUUCUCUUUAUAUUUCUCUUUCUCUCCUCUAUCCUUCCCUUUACAUGCUUACUAACACAACAAGUUUUGGUUAAUAACAUAACAUGUUUUGUAUGUAACAGAUUUCUCCAUGAAGGCGGGCUUAAGGCUUUAAGGAUUGCAAUGGUUGAGAAAAGGAUUGCAAUGUCUACGCUAAUGACGGUCUGCACAUUCAUAAAACAGAAGCAUGAUAGUAAGUAAAUAAACAUAUGAUUGCAAUUGUUACUGUGAUUGCUAUUUUAGAAGCAUUAUCUUGACUUUUCUUUUGCUCUCUUAGGUGAUUAACUUGCUCUAUUUGGCAUUUUUGAUUGCAGGGGGUUGUGGUGCUUAUGUAGUUUUAAUAUCUAAAUAUGAUCCUUUACAUGAUAGAGUCGACGAUUUUACCGCUAGCUCUUGUCUCACACUACUCUGUAGCAUACAUGGAUGUUCAAUAACAACAGGUGAAAGCAUUGGAAAUACCAAACGCAAAUUUAUUGUUUGAGAUAUAUUUUUUGAGAACCUGAUUGCUAUAGUGCUUCUAAAAUAUAUAAUGAAUCUGAUUGCUAUAGUGUUUCUACAAAUGUGAAUCUGAUUUGCAUGGCCAGUGGUCUUUGAGUUUCAAAUGAUGCUGGAUUCUCAGGCAGUCCUUUGUUUGUUCCUAGCUUUGUCAUCAAGAACAUAAUUGUUGGAUUCUUAAGCUAUAAGUCACUAACAAGACAAUAUUUACAUUACCCAGAUGUCAUUGGGGUUCUCUGUGAUGUCGUCAAGACACAAACUGCAGGAAACGUUUUUCAACUCAGGUGUUGAUGUCUUCUUCAACUCAGCAUGCAAUAUCAAAACCUGGUAUUCAUGAAAUCCACAUUGAAGUUACCAUCUUAUUGCUGGGACUUUUCCACAUAGAAGUUUAUUCUGAAUUCCAACUUAUCAGUUGUAAAUAAUUGAACACACAUUAACUUUUAAUUCAUUGCAUACCUCUCUGGUUUCAACUAAGUUCAUCUUAUGUCAAUUUACAAUGUUAAAACAACUAUAACAGCUUACAUUAGGUCUAACAUUGACAU